UGCCAGCCGCCGCGGUAAUACGGAGGGUCCAAGCGUUAUCCGGAUUUAUUGGGUUUAAAGGGUGCGCAGGCGGGCUUGUAAGUCAGUGGUGAAAUCUUGCCGCUUAACGGUAAAAUUGCCAUUGGUACUGCAGGUCUUGAGUAUGGUUGAGGUAGGUGGAAUGUGUUGUGUAGCGGUGAAAUGCAUAGAUAUGACACAGAACGCCGAUUGCGAAGGCAACUUACUAAGCCAUUACUGACGCUGAGGCACGAAAGCGUGGGGAGCGAACAGGAUUAGAUA
rnacentral:rRNA from 1 species